CCUACGGGAGGCAGCAGUGGGGAAUAUUGCACAAUGGGGGAAACCCUGAUGCAGCAAUGCCGCGUGGGUGAAGAAGCACUCCGGUGCGUAAAGCCCUGUCAGCAGGGAAGAAAAUGACAGUACCUGGACAAGAAGCCCCGGCUAACUACGUGCCAGCAGCCGCGGUAAUACGUAGGGGGCAAGCGUUAUCCGGAUUUACUGGGUGUAAAGGGAGCGCAGGCGGCGUGGCAAGUCAGAUGUGAAAACCCGCAGCUCAACUGGGGGAGUGCAUUUGGAACUGUGUAGCUGGAGUGCAGGAGAGGUAA
rnacentral:rRNA from 1 species